CUCCGCGUCAGUGAAGGCGGCCCCGCGACCCUUUCAAGGUCGAGAUCGCGGGUUCGAAUCCCGCCGGGGUCACCA
rnacentral:tRNA from 1 species